ensembl:snoRNA SNORA70 Small nucleolar RNA SNORA70
CUGUAGCCAAGGAAACCACCAUGUGCUCCCUCCACAGGGAGCCUGGUGUGCAAUGGUGGCAAACAGUAGCCCCCUCAGUAGUGUAUACAGCCUGUUGCUUAAAUGGGUUGCCUUACAGGACUUUGGACACAGCC